UGUGCAAGGAGGAAGCAGGGAGACCCCUGAUGGUCCACGGAGUGGGAAGGUGGCUUGGAUCAGAGGAGAAGGGCAGAGGUGCUCAGAUCCUGGAUCUGUGUUGAAGACAGGAUUUCGGUGAUUGAACUUCUUUAAUUCCCACAACAACCCUAUAGGAAGGCACAUUUAUUGGAUGCAAAAAUAGCUCAGAAAGGUGACAGAACUUCCUGAGGCUUGACGGGAGCAGACAGUGGAGAGGCAGGGCCUGACCCCAGUUUCCAAAUCCCUGUUGGUUCCUGUGGAGUCAACAGCCUGGUCUGGUGAUGGCCAUUGGAGCUCCCAGAGGAAGUGACAUUGACGCUGAGACCUGGAGGACCUGGAGCCAUGAGCCAAGCCGCAGCCCUGCUCCCUAGAGAUUGACGUCUUCAGAAACUCCCAGGCCCCUGCUCUUUCCACAUUUUUCAGCCUGACGUGUGGCCAAAGCAUGACAAACCUCCAUGGAUCAUGGAACACAGGAUGUGCUCACACUGGAUACACCUGUGCCUCCUGCACCUGGAUCAAGAAUCAUCACAGCUAGGCCCCCAGGGCUCCUUGGGCCUCCUCUCAAGGUCACCACUCUGAUCUGCUCCCAUAUGGUGGUUUUGCCUGAGGUGGGCUGUUUUGGUGUGUGCCCUUCGGGUCUCUCUUUGGGAUUCUCUCUGUGGAGGAUCACUGAGCAGUGUGCCACUGUCCGCUGGACCACAGACCCUCU
rnacentral:lncRNA from 1 species